rnacentral:rRNA from 1 species
GAUGAACGCUGGCGGCGUGCCUAAUACAUGCAAGUCGAGCGAACGGACGAGAAGCUUGCUUCUCUGAUGUUAGCGGCGGACGGGUGAGUAACACGUGGAUAACCUACCUAUAAGACUGGGAUAACUCCGGGAAACCGGAGCUAAUACCGGAUAAUAUUUUGAACCGCAUGGUUCAAAAGUGAAAGACGGUCUUGCUGUCACUUAUAGAUGGAUCCGCGCUGCAUUAGCUAGUUGGUAAGGUAACGGCUUACCAAGGCAACGAUGUAUAGCCGACCUGAGAGGGUGAUCGGCCACACUGGAACUGAGACACGGUCCAGACUCCUACGGGAGGCAGCAGUAGGGAAUCUUCCGCAAUGGGCGAAAGCCUGACGGAGCAACGCCGCGUGAGUGAUGAAGGUCUUCGGAUCGUAAAACUCUGUUAUUAGGGAAGAACAUAUGUGUAAGUAACUGUGCACAUCUUGACGGUACCUAAUCAGAAAGCCACGGCUAACUACGU